UUGCUUUUAUUGUGUAUGGUUUCAAACCUCCACUUAAAUAAAAGUUCUGGAAAAGUCUUAAAAUAUUUAACUAUUUCCAAUUCUAUUUAUCUUAGUAAACCCUUUUCACUAUUUUUUUACUUAGAAAUUGCUAUUAAUAGCAAAUAAAGACUAAGAAUUUUAACAAUUAGUCAGAACAGCCUUCUGUGAAUUGAUUUAAUGAAAAAGAAACCUGGGAAUCAAUAUUGUAACAAACCAAAUUCACAAUUCAAAUGUUUUCACUUCUUCUACUUUUAUCUCAAACUAAAUAUUUGUGCUGUAAAAUCCUAACUCUGUCAAAUUUGAGUGAUUUAAUCUGUUAUAUAAAGAAAUCUGUUAGCGCAUUAUAAAAUUUUAUCAAUUACUGUAAUAAUCUUUUCUAAUAACUAACUUAAAAAAAAAAGAAGGAAAAACAGAGUUUUUUUUAAAAUGAUAUCAAAUUUUAUCUAAAAAUUUAUCUUAAAGUAUUGGUUCAAAAUAAAAAAGGAAUAUUAGCUCUAUCCAAUACAUCACUAUGAAAUGUUUAUUUCAUUCAAUAGUUUCUCUUGUUGUCUUAUGCAUCAAAAUUUAAACAAAAAUCUACAUAAAAAUUCAUUUCAUUAAAACUAAAAGUAAAGUAGUAACUAUAAAUAAAACAUCCAGUUUUAGAUGAACUUUCUGUUUAUAUCAAAUAAGAAAAUAUUUAAGUCUCAAUUACUUUCUAUUAUUUUCAACACCAUAAUGUUUUAUUUCAGUAAUGAAAAACUUUAUUUUGCAAUUGAACAUGUACAAAGUCGAAAGACUAAAGAUAUCAAACUUUUUUAAGUUCUGGGGGACAUUUUAAAGCACUAAGUCAAAACAUUUAUCACAGCAUAUAAUUUUAUCAAAUGAAGAAAUUUAAUACUAUCCAUCAAAGCGUACAUAGGCCACACAUAACAUAUAGUGUUUGAAUGAAAAAAAUGUGUGGAAAACACAAAAAUGACCCAGUUUAUAAUUUUUUGUCAUGGGAAUUUCCCAAAGUGUGACCUAGAUGAGGAUGACCAAAGAUAGCAUAAGUUAUCCAUAUGUUUUCCUACAACUUCGAUGUUAGGCGGCAUAAAAUUGUAGCUAACUGUGCUCAGAAUUUGAAAUUCACAGAAAAACAUUUAACGAAAGAGAAGAAGAAACUGUUUCCUAGAUUGCAAUAAGAGAACUCAAUUUUCCAGAUUUUUUUGUUAGAUAUGAACUAAAAUAUAAGAAUAUUAAAAGGAGUCAGAAUCUUACAUUUUGUUUUACAAUUAUACUUCAUUCAAAAACACUUCCUGAAGGCCUGCAUAACAAUUUCCCAGGUUAACAUGUUCUAAAAAUAACACCAGAUAACAUCCCCUUGUUCAUUAUUAACAAGAGUGCACACGCUGAAAUGUCUCGCCUUCUAUACUAAUCAUUGAUAUUAUGUUGAUAGUCCUAAGUAAAAAGCUAAGCUUUAUAACAACUGUACCAUAAACUUAACAUUAACCAAGAUAACUAAACAAAGACCAAUGAACCUUGAAAAUGAGGUCAAGGUCAGAUGAACCAUGCCAGGCAGACAUGUACAGCUAACAAUGCUUCUAUACAACAUAUAUAGUUGACCUAUUACUUAUAGUUUAAGGGAGCUACCAUUUGAUUUUUAUGGGGGGGCUAGGAUGAAAAAUUUUGUCCUGCAUUUUUUUUUAGCUGUAAUCUCUGUCCUGCCUUUUUAUUUUUCACUCUGUUCGGUCCUGCAUUUUUUUUUUUAGUUUAUCCUGACUUUUUUUUUACCUAAAUUGUCGUCCUGACUUUUUUUUUUUGCAAGUGUCUCAUCCUGCCUUUUUUUUUACUCAAAACUCCUGUCCUGCCUAUUUUUUUCAAAUUUCAUCCUAGCCCCCCCAUAAAAAUCAAAUGGUAGCUCCCUAAGAAAAAUAGACCAAAACACAAAAACUUAACACUGUGCAAUGAACCGUGAAAAUGAGGUCACGGUCAAAUAAAAC
rnacentral:lncRNA from 1 species